ACACUUGACUGAACCAGCAAAAGAUUUUAAUGGGGAUAUUUUUAAAAAGAUGUGAAAAUCUUGGUUACCUCUUAAAACCAUUUUUAUUCAUUUAUGUAUAUGUUUUCUUUUUUUUAAUUAAUCGAAACAAAUAAGCCAAAUAUAGUGUGGGUGACUCAUAACUCUUGGCUGACAGCUCCUCCACAGGAUUUAAACGUCCUUUUUCUCGCCGUCAGUCAUGUUGUCCUUGGCUGCUCGUACGCUCCACAUUGGGGCUUCCUGUUGCCAAGGUGGCAGGCGCUUCAUAGCAACAGUUAUCUCUGGCAACAAGACAUCCAGGCUGGUGAGGGAGAGGCUGAAGAAGCAGGUGGAGAAGAUGAAGAGUGAGUUCUCGGGGUUCCGACCCAGCCUGGUGGUUUUGCAGGUAAUUCAGACUCACUGGGGAGGCCCAGGACUGAACCUUAGCUGUGCUUCCAGACAUUUCACAUAGAAGGUUUUGGCGACAUCUGCUGGUCAAACUAAAUAACAGAAAUUAGUAGUUGACUAAUGUUUUUGCUCCUUAUGGAACACUGUCCUGCAUUUUUUGAAAUCCAACCUCGCUCAGACACACCUGCCUUUGAUGACUGUCAUAACCAUGAACUCAUGAAACCAGGAAGUAGCUGCUGCUGCUCCGAGGUCACUCAGGUGUUAUAAAAGCUGGAACCUGCUGCUUUCAACCGGUUGUGUUUCACAGCAGCUUCAGUCCUCCAGACUCAGACUGGUCUGAUCCAGAAAAACUGAUCCAGUUCAGGUUCAGAGAACGCUCAGUCUGGUUUCACCAGAGCGGACUCCUUAACAAACAACGCUGUUUAUCAUUAACCUGCAGAAGUUGUCGGUCCUUUGUUGUCGUCAUCAGGACCAGCCUGACCCAACAAGCUCACUGAUCCAUGUGUGUGUGUGGGGGGGUUGUCUUUCAGGUAGGAGACCGGGACGAUUCCAACCUGUACAUAAGCACCAAACUGAAAGCUGCAGCUGAGGUGAGACACCCACGUUAUGCAGGAUUAGAGCUAGCAACUAUGCACACAAAAGCAGGGAAUUCCUGUUGGUUGAGAGUAUAAUUGAUAAUCAGGGCUGAAGUUAGCAACUGUGGUAAAUCAAAUCAGUAGAAAUUUGUAUCAUUAUUAUUAUUAACCUUAUAGCAUAUUUUCAAACCAGUAAAACACACAAAAAAAAAUCAAUAAUUACAUUUACGUGUUAUUUUUAUGAAAUCAAGGGUAAGAUGCUUCUCAAGAAAUUGUUUUUUAUUUAGUUGAUUUGAUUUUAAAUGGUUUAUUUCAAACAAUAAUACAUGUACAAUGCAAUUGUAUUUACAACUGUACAAAGAUAUGUCAGACAUCGCUAAAUAAUUACAGGUUGCUCGAAAGGGAGUGGGAGAAAGCAACAUCAAAGUCUGACAUUGCACUAAAUCAAGAUGCCGCUUGUGUGAUUGACCAUUUCUCCAGAAUGCACACACUUUACAAAAGGAAUCAAAUUUAGAAAAGUAAGCUGUUUUUUGUUAGAAUCAAAUUAAAAUAUUUAUUGUAAUACUAAAUUCCUAUCCAGAGAGAAAAAAAUAUAUAUAUUAGAUCAAAAUACAAUGAAAACGUUUUUUUUUUCAGGUCAACAGAAGCAUUGAGUAGAGAAAUAGAUAAUGGUACACUAAUAGAAAAAUGACAUUUUUCGCUUGCAUUGUUUAAAAUGUUUCAUUGGAAUACAUACAUUUGUGGCAGCGGAUGAUCCUGUGUGGCACAGGGUGUUUUAUUUUGAAAGGAACUCUUAUGAACUCAAAAGUGCAAAAAAUAUUAGGGAUGUAAAAGAUGUUAGGGACAGCAGUAUUGGAUAGGGAUGUAAAUAAAUAAAUAUCAAAAAUUGAUUGAGCAACUGCAGUAUCGCUUGAAAACCACAGAAUUGAACAAGAUUCUGUUGGUAAAAUCAAUCAAGACAUAAAUAAUCAAUAUCUGAUCAUCUGCAGUUUCUCUUUCUGCUUUUUCUACUGUCUUUGUCUUUUUUAUGUACGUGCGAUACAAACAAAAAAAAAGACGUAAGUAUGAGCUUGCUUUUUCCAAGUGUAUGUCAGAUGCCAUGUGUUAUUAUUUAUAACUUUAAAUGCUAUAAGAAUAAGAAAUAUCUAGAUUUUAGUAUUUUUAGUGAAAGAAUCGGACUGUACUUUAUCGCCAAAAACUUAGUUGAAUCCUUCAAGUAUCGAUUCAUGUAUUGAGAUACGUAUUGAAUCAGGUGAGAGGGAAAGAUACAAACCCCUAAAUAUAUAUAUAUAUGUUAUAUUUUAAAGAAAAUGUGACUUUCUCAUUAUAUUUGGAUGUUUUGGUUGACUCCAGUUGUACAGCCCAAAAUAUUAGUUACAUCUCCAAAUAGAAUUUUUAACCUCUCCCCAAAAAUACAAUAAAUGG
ensembl:lncRNA